rnacentral:rRNA from 1 species
UACGUAGGGUGCGAGCGUUGUCCGGAAUUAUUGGGCGUAAAGGGCUCGUAGGCGGUCUGUCACGUCGGGAGUGAAAACCCAGGGCUCAACCCUGGGCCUGCAUUCGAUACGGGCAGACUAGAGUGUGGCAGGGGAGACUGGAAUUCCUGGUGUAGCGGUGAAAUGCGCAGAUAUCAGGAGGAACACCGGUGGCGAAGGCGGGUCUCUGGGCCGAUACUGACGCUGAGGAGCGAAAGCGCGGGGAGCGAACAGG